rnacentral:lncRNA from 1 species
CUGUCCCAAUCAGAUGGGUUCCAGCAUCAGACAGAAGAGCCAGGCCAGUCCUGGUUGGAACAGGGAGGUCCUGAGAGGGGACAAGCCUCUGGCCAUUAGCCUAGGGACUGGCCUGUCUUUCCACUGGCCUCAUUUUGUUUGUCAAAGCAAGUCCAGAGGCCAGCUGAGUCUCUAGGGUAGAAGAGCGACUCUCCCUUUGUGCACCAGUCCACAGACGCAGAGUGACAAGACUGGGGACAAGAAGACAGAGCAAUUGCAGCACAACUUUCUUCAAAUCAAUGCAUCCUAAAUCAAUCGAAAUGCUCUCGGAGCUUUUGGGAAAUGAUUCUGCAGUUUACAGUUAAUUCAAAAAGCAGCAACUUCUGCUCGGGAACACAGAUUCCAGCGUCCUUAACGACAUGACUUGCUGUGGAGGAGCACGUGAGGUUUUGUGGUCACAGAACAGAGGAAGAUUAUGAACCUCGAUGACAUCACCGGGGACAGGUCCCAUCCCAGGAGGACACUGGGAGCUUAUCGAGAUGUGGACAGACUGCAGUCCUGAGAGUGGAGAAACUUAGAAGGGAAGAUGUCCAUUCCCUAAAACAUGGAAGAGUUAGAUAAACACACCAUAGGGUCCUGACUUACCUCAUCUACCAGAGAGCUGGAGUCACAGAACUACAGAUUUCUUGAAACACUGGGGAACUGGAAUGUGCCCCACCUGAGUCCAGUUUACCUGUGAGUGAGGAACCACAGCUGCCUUAGAUGUGUCUAAAGUUGGGUUUCUUCUGAAAGUUGGAUGUGAGAAGUCCAGAAACCUGGACACAGAAGCAUUUACAUGAAGCAAGCAUGGCCUCAUCUCUACAGACCUCCUGAGGACCACAGGGAAGAGCCAGUACAUGGAGAAGCAAGGACUUGCAUCCCCUGGACGGCAGAUUCAGAAGAGUGGGCAGCCCCUGCUGUAGGAAAGGAGGAAGUGCCUCUGGCUUAGAUCCUUCUGCCCCAUUUCUCCCACGGACAGGAGACAUGGCUGACUUAGGGGAAGCAGAGCUCUUGUCUUGCCUUUGGAGAAGGCUCAUCUCAGCUGGAACAAAGAGAGAAGGCAAGAUUUACACUUAUGGGGAAGAAGGAUUCCAUCCUAGACACCAUUGGAGAUGUCUUCUCACUAUGCCCAGAGCCAGUGUGGUUGCCACAGAGAGGAAGGGGCUCAGUGUCAUUAAGUCAUCUGUAACUGUGGCCCAGUGACACGGGUCUUUGUUGGUCUGAAGAUAAGUUAGGACAACACAGAGCAUCACUUGGAAAGCCAAGCAGGUACCAUGGGCAUGCCAUUGCAAUCCACCACGGGGAAGGAAUAUGACUACAGGAAGGCAGGACACACUGGAAAUGCAGAUGAGGGUAGACCGGGAGUAGGGGGAAGGGAAGCCUGCACAGCCCAAGACCAUUCUGACUGACACACAACAGUGUUGAAUAGUAUCUGUGGUGCAUUAGCAGAAACCAUAGCAACUAUCCCAAGCCUAGCUCAUCAGUGACUAACUUGCACCAGCUCCCCCUGGAAAGAGCCAUCAUUAAAAGUCAUGAGCUCAAUUCCGGGCACAAAUACAGCUUAUUCCAGCUUCAUGUGCAAAUGAUGUCUGAAUUUCAAAGAAAACUUAUAAGAUACACACACACACACACACACACACACACACACACACACCACAUACAUACACACACACACACACACACCACAUACAUACACACACACACACAUCACAGGAAAACAACCUAUUAUCAAGAGGCCAGUCAAUCAACAGUGCAUGGCAGAAAUGAGCUACAAAAACUAUCACACAGAGUUAUAUACCAAUAAAUAAGUGAUUCCAAACAAGGCUACAGCAUGCCUUAGGACCUGCAUAGUUCAGCAGAUCAAUACCAGUUAUAAGAAGAACAGAAUGAAAGUUACAGAAGUAAGUACAGCAGCCGAGAUGAGGAAUGUCUUCAAUGGGCUCGCCGAUAAAACUGAUAGGUUAUCUGAUUAUUUAAAGGUAGGCAAAUAGAAACAAUACCAUGUAACAGACAUGAUUUCUCAAAUAAUAAAACUAUACAGCAGCUGUACUGAGCAUCCCGAAUCUCAGAGGAGAGAAAAGGAGUAUUUGAAGAGAUAAUGGCUGAUAUUUUCCAAAGUGAGAUGAAAGAUAUAAAAUAUAAACCUGAAACCCUUCUAAAGGGGCUAGAGAGACAGCCUGGCAGUCAGGGGCACCAGAGUUCCUGUCUUAGCACCUGUACCUCCAGCUUUACAAAGUCCAGCGCCCUCUUUCGGCUUCUGUAGGAAAUUGCACUCAUGUGCACAUACCUCCAUACCCAUAUACACAUAAUUAAAAAUAAAAAAUUUUAAAUGAGGGUUCAGAAAAGCAAGCACUAUAAAUAAAACACGGAGA